UACGUAGGGGGCAAGCGUUGUCCGGAUUUAUUGGGCGUAAAGAGCGUGUAGGCGGCUGGGUAGGUCCGUUGUGAAAACUCGAGCUCAACCUCGAGACGCCGAUGGAAACCCUCCAGCUAGAGUCCGGAAGAGGAGAGUGGAAUUCCUGGUGUAGCGGUGAAAUGCGCAGAUAUCAGGAAGAACACCCGUGGCUAAGGCGGCUCUCUAGUACGGUACUGACGCUGAGACGCGAAAGCGUGGGGAGCGAA
rnacentral:rRNA from 1 species